rnacentral:lncRNA from 1 species
UUGAUUAUGACAAGUUGACAGGUCAACUAGAACAGAAUUGUCAAGAGUUGACAGGUCAACCAAUUUGCUAAAGGUUGACAGGUCAACCAGUAGAUCCAGACCUGGAGAUUCUCCCUCAAGAAUAGAAGAUAAAAGAUCAUCCUCAUCUAAUGCUAUCUUAGUAAAGGCAGCAAAGUCAUCAAUAUUGACAUGAUGGUUCCGG